rnacentral:rRNA from 1 species
UACGAAGGGGGGCUAGCGUUGCUCGGAAUCACUGGGCGUAAAGCGCACGUAGGCGGCUUCUCAAGUCAGGGGUGAAAUCCUGGAGCUCAACUCCAGAACUGCCUUUGAUACUGAGGGGCUCGAGUCCGGGAGAGGUGAGUGGAACUGCGAGUGUAGAGGUGAAAUUCGUAGAUAUUCGCAAGAACACCAGUGGCGAAGGCGGCUCACUGGCCCGGUACUGACGCUGAGGUGCGAAAGCGUGGGGAGCAACAGGG